rnacentral:rRNA from 1 species
CAGUCGCCGCGGUAAUACGAAGGGUGCAAGCGUUAAUCGGAAUUACUGGGCGUAAAGCGUGCGCAGGCGGUUGUGUAAGACAGGUGUGAAAUCCCCGGGCUUAACCUGGGAACUGCGCUUGUGACUGCACAGCUAGAGUAUGGCAGAGGGGGGUGGAAUUCCACGUGUAGCAGUGAAAUGCGUAGAGAUGUGGAGGAACACCGAUGGCGAAGGCAGCCCCCUGGGCCAAUACUGACGCUCAUGCACGAAAGCGUGGGGAGCAAACAGGAUUAGAUACCCCCGUAGUCCCUGUCUCUUAUAC